CAUAAAUAUGUCUCAUUUUUAAAUGGAAUAAUUAGCUAAUUAAGGUUAAAUUGGGAAAUAGGUGGAAUAUUUAAUUGAUAAACCAUUUUUUGAAUGGGCAUGUUUUGCAUGUAUGGGCAUUUGGGCCGUCCUAUUCCCGGUCCACAAAGAGACCGACCCAGCCCAAGGGAUCAGUUGAAUGCAAGGAGGAGGUAAUACUUUCAUUUCCACAAAACUAAACAAACCCUAGCCACCUCCUUUUCCCCUCUCUCCCAACAUCACUUAGCGAAAAGACCCUCCCCAGGUUCUAACAGGCCUCGCAUGUCCGUCUCCAGGCCACAUUUAUUGCUGUGAAACCUCUUUCCACCAAAUCCCAUCCAAACAACGCCUAAGGUACAGUUUUCCAUACCUUUUUCGAUUCUUUUUCUUUACUUUCCGUCAAAUCGACUAGUUAACUUUAAUGGCUUCGUCCUUGCGUAAUUUGAAACCCAUUGGUUUCUCCAAAGAACCAAGCGGAUCAAGGGUGGUUCGGCCUUAUUUGAGCCCUUCGUUUGUUAUAUGGUUGAAAGCUGUUCAUUUACUUCGAAAACGAGUGAGAGAAUUGCGAAAUUUUAGCAAGUCCCACAUCAAAAAAUUGGGGCUUUUCUAUCAUUUUUAUAGAACCCCAAGCUUUGCAUUGAGACAGGCACAGACAGAGGCAUAGAACCCGAAUUUGCGUAUCUUACACUCGAAAUUGGGGGCUUUUCAUUUUUAGUUCAAAAUUUUGUUUCUUCGCUUAACUGUUAAGUUGGGUAUUCAAGUUUUAAGAUUUUGAUUUUUCUUUUUUGGAAGCACAAAGGAGCUCCAAGUUCAUUCUUGACUUGGUUGCGCAUAAAAAAGGUAUGUUGCAGGUUUAAGUUGAAGUUUCUUCGUGUGGAUUUCUAGGCAUCCUCCUACAGCCUCGCUCAUCUCACUCCAGUUAGAGGCUGGGUCAUUUAUUUUGUUUAUCCUUGUGUAGUAGGUGCUCUUGUACCUGUCUAGACUAGAUCCCGGGAGUUUUCAAUUUUCUUGUAUCAAUAACAAAGUCCGUAUGAGCAUUUACUUUUAAAUAUUGUGAUUAUUAAGAAAUUGUUAUUUUUAAA